UACGUAGGGCGCAAGCGUUAUCCGGAAUUAUUGGGCGUAAAGAGCUCGUAGGCGGCUUGUUGCGUCGACCGUGAAAACCCGGGGCUCAACUUCGGGCUUGCGGUCGAUACGGGCGGGCUAGAGUUCGGUAGGGGAGACUGGAAUUCCUGGUGUAGCGGUGAAAUGCGCAGAUAUCAGGAGGAACACCGGUGGCGAAGGCGGGUCUCUGGGCAGUAACUGACGCUGAGGAGCGAAAGCGUGGGGAG
rnacentral:rRNA from 1 species